UGGGCGUUAAGUUGCAGGGUAUAGACCCGAAACCCGGUGAUCUAGCCAUGGGCAGGUUGAAGGUUGGGUAACACUAACUGGAGGACCGAACCGACUAAUGUUGAAAAAUUAGCGGAUGACCUGUGGCUGGGGGUGAAAGGCCAAUCAAACCGGGAGAUAGCUGGUUCUCCCCGAAAGCUAUUUAGGUAGCGCCUCGUGAAUUCAUCUCCGGGGGUAGAGCACUGUUUCGGCUAGGGGGCCAUCCCGGCUUACCAACCCGAUGCAAACUGCGAAUACCGGAGAAUGUUAUCACGGGAGACACACGGCGGGUGCUAACGUCCGUCGUGAAGAGGGAAACAACCCAGACCGCCAGCUAAGGUCCCAAAGUCAUGGUUAAGUGGGAAACGAUGUGGGAAGGCCCAGACAGCCAGGAUGUUGGCUUAGAAGCAGCCAUCAUUUAAAGAAAGCGUAAUAGCUCACUGGUCGAGUCGGCCUGCGCGGAAGAUGUAACGGGGCUAAACCAUGCACCGAAGCUGCGGCAGCGACGCUGAUGCGUUGUUGGGUAGGGGAGCGUUCUGUAAGCCUGUGAAGGUGGCCUGUGAGGGUUGCUGGAGGUAUCAGAAGUGCGAAUGCUGACAUAAGUAACGAUAAAGCGGGUGAAAAGCCCGCUCGCCGGAAGACCAAGGGUUCCUGUCCAACGUUAAUCGGGGCAGGGUGAGUCGACCCCUAAGGCGAGGCCGAAAGGCGUAGUCGAUGGGAAACGGGUUAAUAUUCCCGUACUUGGUGUUACUGCGAAGGGGGGACGGAGAAGGCUAUGUUGGCCGGGCGACGGUUGUCCCGGUUUAAGCGUGUAGGCUGGUUUUCCAGGCAAAUCCGGAAAAUCAAGGCUGAGGCGUGAUGACGAGGCACUACGGUGCUGAAGCAACAAAUGCCCUGCUUCCAGGAAAAGCCUCUAAGCAUCAGGUAACAUCAAAUCGUACCCCAAACCGACACAGGUGGUCAGGUAGAGAAUACCAAGGCGCUUGA
rnacentral:rRNA from 1 species